rnacentral:rRNA from 1 species
AUUGAACGCUGGCGGCAGGCCUAACACAUGCAAGUCGAGCGGCAGCGGAAAGUAGCUUGCUACUUUGCCGGCGAGCGGCGGACGGGUGAGUAAUGUCUGGGAAACUGCCUGAUGGAGGGGGAUAACUACUGGAAACGGUGGCUAAUACCGCAUAACGUCGCAAGACCAAAGUGGGGGACCUUCGGGCCUCACGCCAUCGGAUGUGCCCAGAUGGGAUUAGCUAGUAGGUGGGGUAAUGGCUCACCUAGGCGACGAUCCCUAGCUGGUCUGAGAGGAUGACCAGCCACACUGGAACUGAGACACGGUCCAGACUCCUACGGGAGGCAGCAGUGGGGAAUAUUGCACAAUGGGCGCAAGCCUGAUGCAGCCAUGCCGCGUGUGUGAAGAAGGCCUUCGGGUUGUAAAGCACUUUCAGCGAGGAGGAAGGCAUCACACUUAAUACGUGUGGUGAUUGACGUUACUCGCAGAAGAAGCACCGGCUAACUCCGUGCCAGCAGCCGCGGUAAUACGGAGGGUGCAAGCGUUAAUCGNAAUUACUGGGCGUAAAGCGCACGCAGGCGGUUUGUUAAGUCAGAUGUGAAAUCCCCGCGCUUAACGUGGGAACUGCAUUUGAAACUGGCAAGCUAGAGUCUUGUAGAGGGGGGUAGAAUUNCAGGUGUAGCGGUGAAAUGCGUA